CUGCUGCCUUCCGUAGGAGUUUGGGCCGUGUCUCAGUCCCAAUGUGGCCGGUCACCCUCUCAGGUCGGCUACUGAUCGUCGCUUUGGUGGGCCGCUGCCCCGCCAACUGGCUAAUCAGACGCGGGCCCAUCCCAUACCACCGGAGUUUUUCACACUGCGCCAUGCGGCGCUGUGCGCUUAUGCGGUAUUAGCAGCCGUUUCCGGCUGUUAUCCCCCGGUAUGGGGCAGGUUGCCCACGCGUUACUCACCCGUCCG
rnacentral:rRNA from 1 species